UACGUAGGCAGCAAGCGUUGUUCGGAGUUGACUGGGCGUAAAGGGUGUGUAGGCGGUUUUCUAAGUCUGGUGUGAAAUCUCCCGGCUCAACUGGGAGGGUGCGCCGAAAACUGGAAGGCUAGAGUGCGGGAUGGGAGAGUGGAAUUCCUGGUGUAGCGGUGAAAUGCGUAGAUAUCAGGAGGAACACCUGUGGUGUAGACGGCUCUCUGGACCGCAACUGACGCUGAGACACGAAAGCGUGGGUAGCAAACAGG
rnacentral:rRNA from 1 species